rnacentral:rRNA from 1 species
UGGGGAAUCUUGCGCAAUGGGCGAAAGCCUGACGCAGCCAUGCCGCGUGAAUGAUGAAGGUCUUAGGAUUGUAAAAUUCUUUCACCUGGGACGAUAAUGACGGUACCCGGAGAAGAAGCCCCGGCUAACUUCGUGCCAGCAGCCGCGGUAAUACGAAGGGGGCUAGCGUUGCUCGGAAUUACUGGGCGUAAAGGGCGCGUAGGCGGAUCGUUAAGACAGAGGUGAAAGCCCAGGGCUCAACCCUGGAACUGCCUUUGAUACUGGCGAUCUUGAGUAUGAGAGAGGUAUGUGGAACUCCGAGUGUAGAGGUGAAAUUCGUAGAUAUUCGGAAGAACACCAGUGGCGAAGGCGACAUACUGGCUCAUUACUGACGCUGAGGCGCGAAAGCGUGGGGAGCAAACAGG